AUUUGAAGUACAUACAAGGGAAAAUCAGCUCUUCCCCAAAUUAUUUUGCCUUGCACCUCUAAAAAUGCUAAAACUGCCCCUUGGUAGGAUUAUCGAGUAGACAUGUACGUUUAAAUAACCUCUUAUCUCAGUAACUUCCAUGAAACUUGGCCGGGAAAAAAUAGACUGGCACUGAUUAAUUGGAUCUAUGCUUUUCUGACAGCUCUGGAGUUGGUGAUUGAAUGAAUCCUGCCAAAG